rnacentral:rRNA from 2 species
GGGGGAUAUUGCGCAAUGGGGGCAACCCUGACGCAGCAACGCCGCGUGAAGGAUGAAGGUUUUCGGAUUGUAAACUUCUUUUAUUAAGGACGAAACUUGACGGUACUUAAUGAAUAAGCUCCGGCUAACUACGUGCCAGCAGCCGCGGUAAUACGUAGGGAGCAAGCGUUGUCCGGAUUUACUGGGUGUAAAGGGUGCGUAGGCGGCUUUGCAAGUCAGAUGUGAAAUCUAUGGGCUCAACCCAUAAACUGCAUUUGAAACUGUAGAGCUUGAGUGAAGUAGAGGCAGGCGGAAUUCCCCGUGUAGCGGUGAAAUGCGUAGAGAUGGGGAGGAACACCAGUGGCGAAGGCGGCCUGCUGGGCUUUAACUGACGCUGAGGCACGAAAGCGUGGGUAGCAAACAGGAUUAGAUACCCUGGUAGUCCACGCUGUAAACGAUGAUUACUAGGUGUGGGGGGUCUGACCCCUUCCGUGCCGGAGUUAACACAAUAAGUAAUCCACCUGGGGAGUACGGCCGCAAGGUUGAAACUCAAAGGAAUUGACGGGGGCCCGCACAAGCAGUGGAGUAUGUGGUUUAAUUCGAAGCAACGCGAAGAACCUUACCAGGUCUUGACAUCCAACUAACGAAGUAGAGAUACAUUAGGUGCCCUUCGGGGAAAGUUGAGACAGGUGGUGCAUGGUUGUCGUCAGCUCGUGUCGUGAGAUGUUGGGUUAAGUCCCGCAACGAGCGCAACCCUUGCUAUUAGUUGCUACGCAAGAGCACUCUAAUAGGACUGCCGUUGACAAAACGGAGGAAGGUGGGGACGACGUCAAAUCAUCAUGCCCCUUAUGACCUGGGCUACACACGUACUACAAUGGAUGUUAACAGAGGGAAGCAAGACAGCGAUGUGGAGCAAACCCCUAAAAACAUUCUCAGUUCAGAUUGCAGGCUGCAACCCGCCUGCAUGAAGAUGGAAUUGCUAGUAAUCGCGGAUCAGCAUGCCGCGGUGAAUACGUUCCCG